AUUGAACGCUGGCGGCAGGCCUAACACAUGCAAGUCGAACGAGUGGCGGACGGGUGAGUAAUGUCUGGGAAACUGCCUGAUGGAGGGGGAUAACUACUGGAAACGGUAGCUAAUACCGCAUACCAUCAGAUGUGCCCAGAUGGGAUUAGCUUGUGGGUGGGGUAACGGCUCACCUAGGCGACGAUCCCUAGCUGGUCUGAGAGGAUGACCAGCCAGACUGGAACGUAGACACGGUCCAGACGCCUACGGUAGGCAGCAGUGGGGAAGAUUGCACAAUGGGCGCAAGCCUGAGGCAGCCAUGCCGCGUGUAUGAAGAAGGCCGUCGGGUUGUAAAGUACUUUCAGCGGGGAGGCGUUACCCGCAGAAGAAGCACCGGCUAACUCCGUGCCAGCAGCCGCGGUAAUUC
rnacentral:rRNA from 1 species